rnacentral:rRNA from 1 species
AUUGAACGCUGGCGGCAGGCCUAACACAUGCAAGUCGAGCGGUAGCACAGAGAGCUUGCUCUCGGGUGACGAGCGGCGGACGGGUGAGUAAUGUCUGGGAAACUGCCUGAUGGAGGGGGAUAACUACUGGAAACGGUAGCUAAUACCGCAUAACGUCGCAAGACCAAAGUGGGGGACCUUCGGGCCUCAUGCCAUCAGAUGUGCCCAGAUGGGAUUAGCUGGUAGGUGGGGUAACGGCCCACCUAGGCGACGAUCCCUAGCUGGUCUGAGAGGAUGACCAGCCACACUGGAACUGAGACACGGUCCAGACUCCUACGGGAGGCAGCAGUGGGGAAUAUUGCACAAUGGGCGCAAGCCUGAUGCAGCCAUGCCGCGUGUGUGAAGAAGGCCUUCGGGUUGUAAAGCACUUUCAGCGGGGAGGAAGGCGGUGAGGUUAAUAACCUUGUCGAUUGACGUUACCCGCAGAAGAAGCACCGGCUAACUCCGUGCCAGCAGCCGCGGUAAUACGGAGGGUGCAAGCGUUAAUCGGAAUUACUGGGCGUAAAGCGCACGCAGGCGGUCUGUCAAGUCGGAUGUGAAAUCCCCGGGCUCAACCUGGGAACUGCAUUCGAAACUGGCAGGCUAGAGUCUUGUAGAGGGGGGUAGAAUUCCAGGUGUAGCGGUGAAAUGCGUAGAGAUCUGGAGGAAUACCGGUGGCGAAGGCGGCCCCCUGGACAAAGACUGACGCUCAGGUGCGAAAGCGUGGGGAGCAAACAGGAUUAGAUACCCUGGUAGCCCACGCUGUAAACGAUGUCGAUUUGGAGGUUGUGCCCUUGAGGCGUGGCUUCCGGAGCUAACGCGUUAAAUCGACCGCCUGGGGAGUACGGCCGCAAGGUUAAAGCUCAAAUGAAUUGACGGGGGCCCGCACAAGCGGUGGAGCAUGUGGUUUAAUUCGAUGCAACGCGAAGAACCUUACCUGGUCUUGACAUCCACAGAACUUAGCAGAGAUGCUUUGGUGCCUUCGGGAACUGUGAGACAGGUGCUGCAUGGCUGUCGUCAGCUCGUGUUGUGAAAUGUUGGGUUAAGUCCCGCAACGAGCGCAACCCUUAUCCUUUGUUGCCAGCGGUUAGGCCGGGAACUCAAAGGAGACUGCCAGUGAUAAACUGGAGGAAGGUGGGGAUGACGUCAAGUCAUCAUGGCCCUUACGACCAGGGCUACACACGUGCUACAAUGGCAUAUACAAAGAGAAGCGACCUCGCGAGAGCAAGCGGACCUCAUAAAGUAUGUCGUAGUCCGGAUUGGAGUCUGCAACUCGACUCCAUGAAGUCGGAAUCGCUAGUAAUCGUAGAUCAGAAUGCUACGGUGAAUACGUUCCCGGGCCUUGUACACACCGCCCGUCACACCAUGGGAGUGGGUUGCAAAAGAAGUAGGUAGCUUAACCUUCGGGAGGGCGCUUACCACUUUGUGAUUCAUGACUGGGGUGA